rnacentral:lncRNA from 1 species
AGAAUUUGUUCUUAACUGACUUGCCUAGUUAAAAUAGUAUAUAUACGUUUUCCAGGGACUGACAAGUGUAUAUUACAUGAAACAAACAAACACAUAGAACACCUGAAUAUUAAAGGUGAGAACAAUUCUUCUUUCUUGGCGUACACAAUAUCUGCCUGUCUAGUUGAAGACAAAUAACACAUAGACAGUUAAUGAUAUUGACUUUGCUCUGUGUCAGACCUUUACUUCUUCCUCCUGGCACCCACUCUAUGCUACCAGUGAGACUUCCCCUUGACCCCCAGGGUCCAAAUCAACGUCCUUUGUGAGAGGCUGGUAAAAAUGGUGAGAUGAGGGCCACACUAUUAUCCACCCUCUUAAUUUUUGCCUCUUCUUUCAGGUGGUUCUUACUCAAAUGAUGGUGGUAAUCGUGCAGCAGGUGAUAUGUUUAUGUAUUAAAUGCAUGUGUUUGUACUGUGAUUGAAUAACUGUGAUCCUCAACACAGGGGCCCCACAAGUAUGUGUGCUCAGCCCCCUCUUGAACUCCCUGUUCAACCAUGACUGCGUGGCCAAGCACACCUCCAACUCAAUUAUCAAGUUUGCAGAUGACACAACGGUAGUAGGCCUGAUUACCAACAAUGACGAGACAUGCGCAAUAGCGCCUCUUCAACCUCAGGAGGCUGAAGAAAUUCAGCUUGGCCCCUAAGACCCUCACAAACUUUUACAGAUGCACCAUGAAGAGCAACCUGUCAGGCUGUAUCACUGUCUGAUACGGCAACUGCACCACCCGCAACCGCAGGGCUCUCCAGAGGGUGGUGUCGUCUGCCCAACGCAUCACCGGGGGCACACUGCCUGCUCUCCAGGACACCUACAGCACCCAAUGUCACAGGAAGGACAAAAAGAUCAUCAAGGACAUCAACCACCCGAGACACGGCCUGUUCACCCCGCUAUCAUCCAGAAGUUAUGUCAUAUCUCUGCCUUUGCACAACUGUCAUCUAGGGAUCUUCAUCAUGAUGCUCUUUGAGCUCCUGGUAGCUAUUUAACUUGGACACUAUUUCAGGGGUAACUAUGGCAGUGGGCUGGUGUGGCUGUGCUUGCUACUGGGUCCUUCUCUGGCUAUGAUUAUCUAUUUCCACGACCACUACAUGAGUCACCAUGGCCAACAUCCUCCUGGACUGUCCGCUGCUGACUGUUUGUCAUGAUCACUCACUUAUACUGACUUUGGAUAGGCUCCAGCACUUUUUGAUAUCUUUGAAUGACUACUGUCCAGUUUAGCAUUCGUCCAUUUGUAGGAAGUCAUCACAGCCUUAAUUUUUAUUUUUUAUUUUAGUUGAAAGACCAACAAAAUCUACAGAACAGCUAUUCACAAUUAUUUUUUAUUUGAAUCUUUGGAGCCUGUGUCCUGUCAUAUUGUGACUCAAUCACACAUGAAAGAUAGGGCUGCUUAUUCACUGUUCACAAGUCACCCAACGUUUACUGUAGGUUUAUGGAUCAUAGCCAACUGUUUUCAGACUACUGGUAUCUAACUGCCUGGUGAAAACUAUUGGGAAACCACACCAUGUUGAGUUCAAGCACAGAAUGAAUUAUACAGUGUAGCUUCCAAUUGAAUCGUGCUGUUAAUUCUUUACUGGGCAACCACACCAUGUUGAAUUCACACACAGUGUGAACGGAGUGAAAUACAGUAUAUAGCUGAAUUGUACUUGAUACUUUGGCAAGCUUAUAAAGCUAUAAGAAAUAUGAUAGUUGUGGUGUGCUUGCCCUCUUACCGAGAUUUCAUAAACUGUCAG